rnacentral:rRNA from 1 species
GACAGAGGGUGCAAACGUUGUUCGGAAUUACUGGGCGUAAAGCGCGUGUAGGCGGCUAAGUAAGUCGGGCGUGAAAUCCCACGGCUCAACCGUGGAAGUGCACUCGAAACUGCAUAGCUAGAGUCCUGGAGAGGAAGGUGGAAUGCUUGGUGUAGAGGUGAAAUUCGUAGAUAUCAAGCGGAACACCGGUGGCAAAGGCGGCCUUCUGGACAGUGACUGACGCUGAGACGCGAAAGCGUGGGGAGCAAACAGG